CUAAACGUCCUGCUUCACCUACGCCACCAGUGGCAGACACAGGGUAUUGCUGGCAAUGGGGCGUGCCGCGUCUCAUGCGAACAACUAAACAAAAAGUAGGUGUGCUGUUGGUCAGUUUGGCGGGAACCGUCACGACGGAGAGGAGUUGCGGAGUUGCCAGGAGGCGCAAGACGAAUGUUAGUGCUGUUUGUUUAUCAGCUCGUUACGGCUGCCGUUCACUGACAGGACUUCCUUGAUGCAUUCUGUGAGUGCAACGAGGAAAACACGGCUGCUUGGAAUGAAACAAAAAGUAUCUGAGAAGCCUGCAGCAAGUGACCACGCUUCCAGCAACCCCAUUCCGUGUCCCGACGCUCUCCUUGAACUGAAGCUAAAAGGUAGAACAGGACCUGGUAGGAAAAUCCAAGGUUACCACUUUGUCAUUCAAGUUCCGAUGUAUCUGGGAGGAAGAGAGCAACGUCAAGCCAGGACUGUGUGGCUUUUUUUCCCUCUUCCUCAGUCAUGUAUUUUUAUGCAUGUCUGAAAUAAAGACUCAGACUCACACUC